rnacentral:rRNA from 1 species
UACGUAGGCAGCGAGGCGUUGUUCGGAGUUACUGGGCGUAAAGGGUGUGUAGGCGGUUGGUUUAAGUUUGGUGUGAAAUCUCCGGCUCAACUCGGGAGGUGCGCCGAAUACUGAAUACUAGAGUGCGGGAGAGGAAAGUGGAAUUCCUGGUGUAGCGGUGAAAUGCGUAGAUAUCAGGAGGAACACCGGUGGUGUAGACGGCUUCUGGACCGUAACUGACGCUGAGACACGAAAGCGUGGGUAGCAAACAGG